rnacentral:rRNA from 1 species
AGUUUGAUCAUGGCUCAGGAUGAACGCUGGCGGCAUGCCUAACACAUGCAAGUCGAACGGAAUCUUAUAUGUUCCUUGUCUCGAAUCUUUGCGGAUUAGAGCUACGGAACAAUAAGAUUUAGUGGCGGACGGGUGAGUAACACGUUGGUACCUACCCCUUAGUGGGGAAUAACUUCGAGAAAUCGAGGCUAAUACCGCAUAAUAUCUACGGAUUAAAGCAUUUAUGCGCUAAGGGAGGGGCCUGCGUCUGAUUAGCUAGUUGGUGAGGUAAAAGCUCACCAAGGCGACGAUCAGUAGCUGGAUCGAGAGGUUGACCAGCCACACUGGGACUGAGAUACGGCCCAGACUCCUACGGGAGGCAGCAGUGAGGAAUCUUCCACAAUGGACGAAAGUCUGAUGGAGCAAUGCCGCGUGCAGGAUGACGGCCUUCGGGUUGUAAACUGCUUUUAUAUGGGAAGAUUAUGACGGUACCAUAUGAAUAAGGACCGGCUAACUACGUG